AUGGCGAGUGUACGCCUGGACAACCCUGGCGGCGGUGGCGGUGGCGGCGGCGGCGGUGGCGGAGUGGGGGGAGGGGGACCAGCUGACCCCCUGGAGGACCCCGUGCUGGUGUCCUACGCCCGCAUGAUGGCCGCCGACGUGCUGUGCGUAUGGCGGAGGACCUGGCGCGUGCCCCAGGAGCCCAUGCCCACCACACAGCACCAGGCGCAGCAGCAGCACCAGCACCGCCACUCCCUCAGGCACUCGCCCAAGGAGCUCUGGGUCUUCUGGUACGGCGACGAUCCCGACCUCACCAACCUGCUGGCGCCCGAGCUGCUCAAGAGCGGUGGUAAAGGGCAUUCGCGGAUCUGGGACUGGGAGAACGGUUUGUCCUAUGAGUGCCGAACACUUCUUUUUAAGGCUCUACAUAACCUUAUUGAAAGGUAAGGUUAUGUCUGCGAACGGGACUUCGUCCGGCUGGGUCGUUUGGUUUGUCCAACCCUACGAAGGCCCGGAGGGUGUUCCUGGCAACAGGAGUUUUAAACCUUCGCCUUUGCUUUCCAGUACUCACCUGUCAUUCAGUCUGUCAUUCUCGUCCAUGGCGAAAGCAUUGUAUGUGCCAGUGUGGACGUUCGGCAACACCCCGUGUCCGACGGCUCACGCGGCGACACUGCUUUUAGCACAGCAGUCAAAUCAUGGCAUACCAGUUAUAUUGGGCCCAUAUGGGUUGAGUGGCACCUUGACUGGUGUGAGUUAUCGGCUGUCUGAGCCUUCAACACAGAAGCUGUUGGAUGAGUGGAGACAAUUCUUUCCUAUUGAAACAAAGGCAUCACAGGGAGACUCCCCAGAACCCACAAUGCCUGCCGCCGUUGAGGUUAUCGUGGGUGGCCACAAAAUGCGUUAUCCAACUUGUUACACAUUAGUGACAGACAUGGAUGACUACUUAAUGGCAAGUCGUGGUGGGACAGUUGUGAAUACCAACACUGUUUCUCCUGGAGCUAUGAAAGGUGGGCUUACAAAUGAUAACACCCCAGAGGGUAGUGACGGGACGAGCCUUCCCUCACACAAUUCCCCCUUCACUGCCUCGAUCCACACCUUACUAGCCCCUGGGUACUUGAGCUCUGGGGGACGAGGCCUCGGUUGGUCACGGGAGAUGUGUGAGCGUGUCUGGCAGGACAUAGUCCAGUGUCCAGGCCAGCAGCCCCCGGCACAGAAUGAUGGACUGACACCAGAGGGGACAUUGACCCCUGCUGAAAUUGCUGGCCAGUGGGACUUCUCAGACCCUGCAACGAAGAUCAGCUGCUCCUGCGCCAAACUGGGUGGAGCUGCAACACCUAGUGGAGGCAAUGGAGCUGGGAGUUUCGGAGGAUACAAGAGUGGUGGUGUGACAACCCCAGGUAGUGUUCCCAGUCUUCGGCUGACUGGAGUUGCAGAUGGUCCUCCUCCAUCAGUAGAAUCUCCAGCCUCUGCCAUUCCAUCUCCACUCCCAACACCUCAGCCAGCCUCUGUGCCUCAUCAUGAUCCCACCAUGCCAACUUUGAGUCCCCAUCCACCCCCAUCCAAUACAUCAGUGGGUGAUCCAACUACCCCUGCUGCUCUCGAUUCCUUGGAUGUGAAACCAAAUAUUGCUGAUUUGAUGGGCCCCAAGUCCAUAUCAUCUCUCAACAAUCAGGGCAUGUCUCCUUAUCCUGGAAGUGAGAGAGGCAAUGGUGUGGAGUCAAAUGAGACCAGCAGUAGCCUGGGGGGCGGUGGAAGCAAUAGCAGCAGUUUGCCAAGGGGACUAAAGCGGCCAUCCCUACCAGGCACAGACUACCAUUCUAUACUAGAAUUGGAAAAACCUAGUACCGUCCUCUAUGACUACUCCAAAUUAAAUGCAUGGUUGCAUCAUCCAGUGAAGAAAUUUAAACCAGCUGAACCAAAGGCAGAGGAACCUCUAUGGCCACCAUAUAGACCUGCACAUAUCCAAGAACACAUGGAAGUCAUCCAUCGUGCAGAACCAAGCCAAGAGAUUCCUGAAGUGAAUGGGUUACCAGCAAAACGUCCUGGUGGCAUAAAGAGACAGGCUGACCCAUAUGACUUCGAUGAUGACAUAGGCACAGGCACCACCCCAGAAACAUUCAAACGGAAAGAUGGCUUUGACAAGGAGGAGACCAAGACCCUGGGAGUGUCCGUUCCUCCCAUGAUCCAGUCCCCGCUGCAACCAAAGAGAACUGGAAAUCUUUAUACAAGUGAAGGGCUUCAAGCCUCGCUUUCAGAUUUGGACGUCAUGUUUGAUUCUGAUUCUCCAGUGGAUGAUGUGAGGCCCGAGGAUACAGCUGCAGUUUUGAACAACAAGAACAAUGCUAGUGGUAACAAAACCAGUGUUAACACUAGCUUAGUGGAGUUGACAAAAAUGUUUCCAACACCUCCCUCCCAUGAGCAUAACCCAGACCAUGACACCACCAUGGAGGAUGCUGUGCCACAGGUCAUCAGCAUCAAACAGGAGCGAGUGGAUGAUCUUAGACCACUUCAUUCACAGGAGCAGGCAAACCUGCCUGCUAGAGACGAACCGAAAGAAAUGUUGGCUGUUUAUCGGCCUCCUACUCUUUCAAUGUUUGUUGGCUCCCGCAAGUAUGCUCCACUAACCAACUUACCAAGUCAGGAGUAUAAACAGUUGUGACACUUCCUCCUGAUUGGGCUUACAAACCUUCAUGGCAGUUCCCAGUUGCUGAGAAGCCCCACGGACCAGCUCCUACAUUGGGCCACAUGGGUCCACUCCAUGGAGGUCCUCCAUCAACUGGACAAACACAGAAGGUGGGCUUGUCUCCCAUCUCACCCAUGACUUCAAGUUUGGGUGGGCCAGUAUCGGACAGUGGCCCAGGGUCUCAGCGUGGGCCAGGCAGUGUGGGAGGCCCAGCUUCUGCAGGACCACCCAUGAAUUAUGAGCUACCAUCCCCUGCAUCCAACCAGUCAUCUUACCUCAACAAGACACUGCCAUCAGUAGAGCCACCAAGCAUGGGCUUAGCCAAGUACCUGAAGCAAAUUCCCUUAUUGUUAACAUCGCUCUGCAGGACUCGAGCGUCAACUUGUUCAGAGAUCACAACUUUGAUUCGUGCACAAUGUGUGUCUGCAAUAACAACCAGAAAAUUGUUGGAAAUAUCCGUGGAAAGGAUGGAGCUCUAUAUUUACCACCUACCCAUCUUAGUUUAGAAGAAGAAAGUGCAAGUUGCAGUUGUGGUUUCUCUGCAGUAGUUAAUAGAAGGGUUGGCCUUUCAGGCUGGAUUAUUUUAUGAAGAUGAAGUGGAUCUUACUGGCCUCCAUGAGGCUUUGGUCAAUGAGCGUAAAAAGCAGUCUUUACUCAUGCUGAUGGACAAUAAGAAUGCAGACAAUCCUGAACGUGAUACCAGUAUUCUAGAUCAGAUACCUCAGUCUAUGUACCAGCUGUUACAAAGCCAGUGCUUAGUAACUUUAAGUACUCCCUCUAGUGUCAUUUAUAGAUCAACAACAGUGUACCAAAAUAAUAGACGAGACAUUAUGCUGAACUUAGUGGAUUAUAAAGAUGGUAAUGAGAUUGCAAGCUUGGCUGUAGAACAGUCACGAGGUGUUAAUGUGGGUGAAGGUGAAGUGAACUCCCCUUCAGCAAGACAUCAGUGCAUGCAUAAGUGGUGCUACUACCAGUUCGAUGGUCCCACAUGUUCUAGGGACAUAGUGCGUUGUAUGAAGGCCCUCCAGCCUCACCUACAAGAGGCCAUACAAAAGAAGGGAAGAUGGGUGAACUUAUUCAGUGUUGAAGGGCCCCUCACGUGGAGGCAGUUCCACCGCAAGGCUGUUAGAGGCAAUGAGGAUAUUGCUGAACCAUUGCCUAUUCCUAUGUUAUUGACAGGCCAUGACCGAGACUGGUUGUCCAUAGCACCACAAUCCCUUAGACACUGGGAAAAAUUACUUCUUGAACCUUACUCACAGCAGAGGAAUGUGGCAUAUGUUGUGGUUGCUCCUGAUAAUGAAUUUAUACUCAAUCAUGUGCGCACAUUCUUCAAGGAGUUGUCAUCUAUAUAUGAGUUGUGCAAGCUUGGUCGUCAUGCCCCCAUACAACGAGUCCUGAGAAAUGGCAUAAUGAGGAUAAGCAAAACUGCAGCAUCCAAAGUAGCCAAUGAGCCAUUAGAGGAGUGGUUCUCCCUCUUGGGUGACUCCCAUGUGUCCACCAACCUCAAAGUUUACGCACAGGUUUGUCGGUACUGGUUGGCCCCACACCUAGCAAUGCUUAGUAUGGACAAGACUCUGUUUGAAGCACCAGGACCCAACAGACCUGCAGAGAGGCAAGCUCCAUCACCAAUGCCUCCUCCCUCAUCAGAGAACAUGGGGAACACCAACCCCUCACAACACCCACGUCAAACUCGGAGCCGGAGUCCUUCUCCUCCUCUUCCUCCUCAUCAUCUUCGUCUUCUUCAUCAUCAUCUUCCUCCUCCACAUCCACCUCAUCAUCUUCUGCAACUUCUACCUCUGGCACACAGCCAGGUAACAUCCCGCUGGGUGCAAGUCUAAAUGAAGUAGAGGAAGACGACUCCCCUCCUCCAGCCAUUCUUGUCUACUUGGUGGACCCCUUCAAUGUUGGGCAAGACCACCCUGACAUGCACCGCUUGGUUACCUUAGGGUUGCUCCGCUGCUACGAACACAUGCUGGAGGGAUUGACUGAGAGCAUGCAGAAUAAUGUGUAUCUCCAGAUUGUCUCAUUGGAGAGUAUACUGGAGUUGGCCAGUGACUCACAUGACCGGUCCCACACACAUAGACCAGCUCAAGAGUCUGGCCUUCUCUGUGUUCAUGCAGUGCAGAAGAACUUUGACUCAUAAUGCAACAGUCAAGUCCCUAACAGGUUUUGGACCUGCUGCUGCAUAUGAUGAUUUCCUCAAGCCUAAGGAAGCUAGUCUUGCAGCAGAGGAAAAGAGGCAAGCUCCUUACCACAUAUUCUCCCCUGCAUACAUUGUUGCCCCCAUCAAAGAGAGUCGUGGUACAUAUAAGGAGGCACAGGAGGCUCUUGGAGCUCCACGUGAAAAGUCAACCAUCUUGAACUGCACCUACUGCCUGUCUGAAGAUCAGAGAUGGCUCUUAGCAACAGCCACUGAUGAAUUAGGGGAAAUUUUAGAGACUGUAACAAUCAAUAUUGAAAUUCCAAAUAGGACGAGAAGAAAGAAAGCUUCUGCUCGUCGUUAUGGCUUGAAGAAGUUGAUGGAUUGGAUACUUAGUGUGAUGUCUAUUGGUGUACAUCCCUGGCGCCUAGUCGUAGGUAGGCUUGGUAGAAUGGGCCACGGAGAAUUGAAAGGCUGGUCUUCCCUCCUGUCAAAGAAGUCUCUCAUCCAGGCUAAUAAGAAUCUGAGAGAAAUGUGUAAGCAGUGUGCAUAUCUGUUCCCUGGAGAUGCCCCAUGCAUACUAUCUGCAUGUCUGGUUGCUAUUGAGCCAGACUCAUCGUUUAGAAUGAUGCCAGAUAUGUUUACACCAGAUGAGAGAUUUGGACAGAAUAGCCAGAACUGUAGCCUGUCAACUCCACAAGAUCUCACUUGUACACAUAUUCUGGUCUUCCCAACUUCUGCUACUGCUCAGUCAGCACAGCAGAGAUUCCAGGAGGAGACCACUUUCCACUUUGAGGGUAAUGGGUUGUUAUUAGAUGAUGAAGAUCUAGAGAACGAUAUAGGUGGUAGUAUAAGUGACAUUGGCAUGAGCAUGGGACUCAACAUCCAGGAUAUCCUUGGACUAGACACCGGGCCUAACCAGGAUGACCAGUUAGAAGAUGGAGGUGGACAAAGAGACUCCCUAUCCCAGCCUGGUAGUCCCACGGCUGGAGUCGGUGGUCGAACCAGUCCCUCACAGUUUUCUGGUCAAGCGCGUAGCAAUGGUAUAGUCCUGGUUGACCCUGAAGAGGAUUCUGGUGGUUCAGUGUUACAACAGCCCUUGGCUCUUGGUUACUAUGUCUCCACUGCAUCCACGGGUCGGCUGCCGAGAUGGUUCUGGUCGUCCUGCCCUCACCUUGAAACAUCCUGCCCAGUGUUCCUUAAGUCAGCCCUCCAUCUUCACUCACCUGGAAUUACACAGUCUGAAGAUUUGAUCAUGAACACUACAAAUAACAAGGUCCACCCAUUGGAUUCUUCUAUCACCACUGAUGUCCUUAGAUUUGUCCUGGAAGGGUACAAUGGCCUCUCAUGGCUAGUCCUGGAUCCUGCCAAACAAGACAGAAGAUCUUGCCUGCCAUUACACAUGCAAGUUCUGUCUCAUCUGUACAAUGUGAUGGCAGCCCUUGUGUAACUACUGCUCUUCUGCAAACACCAAAUAAAAAUGAAAAGAUAAAAAAUAUAUAGACAGAAGCUUGGUAUAAUAGACCUGCCCUGGUGCAAUUAAUGGGCAUUGUCUGAAACAACUUAAUGAUAUUGUAAUUAAUUGCCCUUUGACAAAAAUUCUGCUUGACUGUUAGAUGUAGUAGUAGUUCUUAUUUGUUUAAAGAUUCUAAAUGACCAAAAAAUACUAGAAUCUCUAAAGACAAAUAUCCUUUGUGCAGUAUUUCUUGCCCAGGGCAAUAUGUCAUUGAGUUCCAAGCUUAGUGAAUUUCGUAGUGUAAAGACUGAAACAUCAUUGAAGAAAGGUUGAGGCUGUUGUAUUCGGCCUGUGUACACUAACCAAAGCAUAUUUUACUCAAGCGAUAAGGAAGUAGAAAGUAAUAAUCAGUGCCUGGGUGGACAUAGAGGUCAAGGUGGGACUUGUUACUGCCUGGCCUGCCAAAACAGAAAAGCUGUGAAUAUUACCAGAUACCUAAAUGACCAAAGUGUUUGGGAAACAGGGCUGUAUGUCUAAGAGAUGCAUAAUGAUUCCUAAUGCUCAAAGAAAGGUCUUACCUCACACAACUAGCAUUAUCUCAAAGAUGACUGUAAAUACUUAACUUAUUAUGGCCAUAAGUCCACCACAAUGCAAUCAAAACAGUCCUGCCUUAUGAUAACAUGGACAACCAUAGAGAAAUUAAUGGGUGGAUAAACUUUGAGGAGCACAAGAAAGGCAUCAUGGUGUAAAGAAAUGCUCAUUUCACAAUGAUUGUAAAAUGGAAUCACAAGUGUGAGUUAACGGCCAGAAUAAAUACAUAUGGGCCACUGGUAUCGUGGGCUGGGCGCCGUAAACCAGUGCAUUGUUAGUGACUAGUAUCCAAGCAGGAUUGUCUGUGAUAAUGAGUAACAGAUUGAAUGUACUUCGUAAUUGGAUAUUUAUGCCUUUUAUUAUUAACACUUGUUUCAGCACAGGUUGGUGCUGUUAAUUUCAAUAAUGUAAAUAGGCAGUGGUGUUGUACAAGCUGGGUGGGUUUGGCCUCUUCCACGCCCUGACUUGCUGUUUCCCAGAGGCUCUCAGAGUAGUAGUGUACAGUAAUGUUGAUUGUACACCUGUGUACAUGUUGCCUCAUGCACCUGAAGCCAAAUUGUAUAUAAAUAGUGUGUCAGGUGACUCCUAGAUUUGGGGGUAAAGGCUCGGCAACAGCAUCUCAGUGGCUUUCGGGGCCCCCUCCCUCUCCCCUCCCCGCCCCUCCCCCCACUGCUCUCAUGUACAGACUCUAGGUUAUGUGUACAGUGAGACACAAGUUUUACACCUCGUGACUGUUUAUACAAGUUAAGUAUUUUCCCCCUGAUGCAGCCACCUCCAAUCUUCAUGCAAAUGGAGGGGGUUGUGGUGUAAAAUAUUUCUGGCAGUAAAUUCUAUUGUUUAUUUUGAGACUAACUAUAAAAAACAUAAAAAUCAAGUAGCAUCUAAGGGUAGAUAGUUUAAAGAAAGUAUUUUACAAAUGGAACAUUUGUACAAGGAGUGUAUUUUAAAAAAUGGUUAAUAACCAAAAGGGAAGAUGGCAGAAACCUUCCAACGGCAAGUAUCGGCUUCUCUCGUCCCUGGGCCUCAGAGUCUGGCAGUCAGGCAGCUAUCUCUUCCCAGAGCCCUCGGCCAUUGCUGUCUUUGCUGUCCGCCUCGCCGUAAACAUGUUGUACUGAACCCCGCCAGAAUGUCUUGGUACUGCAGUUCUCAUAUUUUGUCUCUCGCAGCAUGACAAAACUUUGCGAGGAGUCCAUCAGUUGAAGCAUUGCAGUGACUUUGGAACAUUAGAGGAAUGCAACAUAUUUUUGCGAUGGUGAAGACACAAAUUCAUGCAGCCUACAAUAAUAUGGGAGUCAUGCCUAAGGGUGCCCAGGUGGGUCGAAAGGGAUUGAGAAUGAAGACAAACUUAAUGCACUUUUAUGCAUUCUUCUGAGGUUGGGACAGCCUUACGCCAGCCAGGGUGUGUGUGGAGCAAUCUAUUUAUGUGCGUCUCGUUAUUUCUGACCUGCCUACCUGUCGACCUGUCUACUAAAAAUGGAGUGUGUGGAGAUUUACAGUUGUGUUUACAUUUUUAAGGAGUAGGGUUUUUACAGUGAAAUUUUAUAUGUACUAUUUUAUUUGUGAACAACUUUUGACUCUAUGCAGUAUUUUAGACAAAAGAGUAUUUGCUUGUGUAUCAUCAGGUAAUGAAGUGACUCUGAUACAUGAAAGGCAAAGCUAACGUUGAUUCUCAGUCCAAUUAACAAAGAAAAUUCUAAUUAGUCAUUAUUUUUUACAAAUCUUCUUUUGUAUGGAAAUUACAAAUUGACUCUGCAAUAACCAAGUUGACUAGAUGCAAUCACAUUUUUAGUAUUUGAGAUAAGAUAUAUUGUAGACAGAUUACAGGUCUUAGGCUGCCAUGGGGCUAGUGGCAGCUUCCCUCCUCUUCUUGCUCAACAGCUCUUCUGGUUUUACUCCUCUCUCUCUUUGCUCAACAACUGUCUGUCUGUCUCAUAUUACCAUUUUUGUUUGAAGACUGACAAAUCAAAAGAAGUCCUUGAUAACAAGUAGUCUGAUAUUUUUACACAAAAUGUUACUUAGACUGUUCGUAUUAUAUUGAUUAUUAUUUUUGUUUAUUGUUUGUAAAUACAAUGGAAAUGCUUUUAUCAUUGGACGCCAGUCAGUUUUCUCUAGUUAAGUCAGUUCAAAUUUGUCAGUGCCCCAUUGCGUUACCUACUCUGCUACAGUGGCAUGUGACCCAAGCCACAUAGCGAUGAGAAAAAAAUGCCUUUAUUAUCUGUUGACUUUUUAAAUUCCGUUGUGCAUGAUUUUGUAGGUGAUUAACACAGCCUCCUUGAUAAUUGUCAGAUGUUUAAUGCUGCUGCACAACUGUUAUGUUUUUUAUUUUUUUUAUUUUUUUUAUUUUUAUUUUUUGGAUUAACUCCCUCCACUCUUUUUUUCCUGUGUAUUGUUAGUUGUGGGUAGCUGCUCUGGCCAGAGUGCUGUAUGAGUGGUGGUGCGAGAAUGACAAGAGUGAAAGUAAGGGGGAGUGAGCUCCAACUCACCCCGCUGUCAUUAUUAUCAUUGGUAUAAAAUACAAUUUUAUGUGUA